GAUGAACGCUGGCGGCGUGCCUAAUACAUGCAAGUCGAGCGAACGGACGAGACGCUUGCUUUUCUGAUGUUAGCGGCGGACGGGUGAGUAACACGUGGAUACCCUACCUAUAAGUCUGGGAUCAUCUCGGGACACCGGCGCUAAUACCGGAUAAUCUUUUGAACCGCAUGGUUCAAAAGUGAAAUUCGGUCUUGCUGUCACUUCUCGAUGGAUCCGCGCUGCAUUAGCUAGUUGGUAAGGUAACGGCUUACCACGGCUACGAUGCAUAGCCGACGUGAUAGGGUGAUCGGCCACACUGGAACGGAGACACGGUCCAGGCGCCUACGGUAGGCAGCAGUAGGGUAUGUUCCGCAAUAGGCGGAAGCCUUACGGAGCGACGCCGCGUGAGAGAUGAAAGUCUUCGGAGCGUAAUACUCUGUUAUUAGUGGAAAACAGAUGUGUAAGGAACUGAAGACAUCGUGACGGUACCUAAUCAGGAAGCCACGGCUAACUACGUG
rnacentral:rRNA from 1 species